CCACAGCACCUCCAGGAGCUUCACCGCCAUGUACGCCGCCGCGCACGCCGCCGCCGCCGCCGCGAUCCACCACCAACCCAUCAUCCGCCGUCAGAACGCAACGAGGAACCCAACCCGAGGCUCCGGCAAUUAUGCGUGAGCCUCUUGGUUUGGAAAUUGGAACUAGUAACCCCAUCAUGCAUGGAUGAAUGCCCAGAUGCAAAAUAAUGAAGCAGCAGCUGUUACUUGUACUUGCUAAUUAUGUGAUCCAUGUCAAAGUUGACUUGAUGGAAUCUACCAGGAGAUGUUUGGAGCCAGAGAGAUGGAUCGAUCGCAUCAGAUCAGAUCAGCUGGUUUGCAACAUUUGGUGUGUCCCAGCGACGCCUGCACUGCAGGCAUCUGAAGCAUGGAUCGAGACGCUGGCUUUGUGAGUGAUGAACAAGAUCUCUAGGCUUUUGAUGGAUGGAUCUAGGCACUGUUUUCGCAUGGAGCGGUGUGCCGCGAGAACGUGCCAAAGUUUCCUUCUGGGUGCUGUGUGUGUGAUGUGAGGAAAAACAGCUUUAGCUCAUCAGCUACUGCAGCAGCUAGCUAGCAUCAGUCAGGAUGAGAAGGAGAGGCUGCUGGCUGGGGAGCGGGGGCGCUGUUGCUACGAUGUGCGGAUCGAUCGAGCAGCUGGCCGGGCAGGAAAAGACUUGACAUGCAACUGGCGGAGCAGGGCCAUGUCCAGGUUAUAUCUGUCUGUGUCCGUUUAUCUCUGACAGCUGAGCUAUCAUCGGGUAAAACGUGAAACCCACUGGGAUGCAUUGUAGCUAGCUACGGAGUAGUACAGUAUAUUAUCACGCAUCUCUCUCUUUCUUUCUCUCGUGGCCGGGCCGGUUGUCUGUUCAUCCUGUGCUGCUGUAUAUAUUCGUGAUGUGUAUACAUGUCUGAAACAUGGACGAAUUGAUGGCGGACCGAUGAGCUAUCAUGGAUCCAUGUUUCAUGUGUGUGCUUGCUGUAAUUAAUGGAUCAAAGUGUACGUAUGGUCGAUCGGCCGUCCGUCGUCACGUACA